AAAAUUAGAGUGUUCAAAGCAGGCAGAUCCAAUUUUCUGCCACCGAAUACAUUAGCAUGGGAUAAUGGAAUAGGACCCUGUCCUCCUAUUUUCAGUUGGUUUUGGCAGCGCGAGGACUAGGGUAAUGAUUAAUAGGGAUAGUUGGGGGCAUUAAUAUUUAAUUGUCAGAGGUGAAAUUCUUGGAUUUAUGAAAGAUUAACUUCUGCGAAAGCAUCUGCCAAGGAUGUUUUCAUUAAUCAAGAACGAAAGUUAGGGGAUCGAAGACGAUCAGAUACCGUCGUAGUCUUAACCAUAAACGAUGCCGACCAGCGAUUAGGAGACGUUGAAUACAAAACACCACCAUCGGCGCGGUCGUCCUUGGCGUCGGUCCUUCACGGGGCCGGCGCGAGGGCGGCUAGCCC
rnacentral:rRNA from 1 species